rnacentral:ncRNA from 2 species
CCAAUAGCGUAUAUUAAAGUUGUUGCAGUUAAAAAGCUCGUAGUUGAAUUUCGGGAUUUAUCCGUCGGUCGGGCUUUUGGGUCUGUACUGGCGUGAUGGAUUCCUACCUUCUGAAUAACCGGCAUGUCAUUAAUUUGGUGCGCUGGGGAAGCAGGACUGUUACCUUGAAAAAAUUAGAGUGCUUAAAGCAGGCUAUUGCCUGAAUACAUUAGCAUGGAAUAAUGAAAUAGGACGGCAUGGUUCUAUUUUGUUGGUUUCUAGGAUCACCGUAAUGAUUAAUAGGGAUAGUUGGGGGCAUUAGUAUUCAAUUGUCAGAGGUGAAAUUCUUGGAUUUAUUGAAGACUAACUUCUGCGAAAGCAUUUGCCAAGGAUGUUUUCAUUAAUCAAGAACGAAAGUUAGGGGAUCGAAGACGAUCAGAUACCGUCGUAGUCUUAACCAUAAACUAUGCCGACUAGGGAUCGGACGAUGUUAAUUUUUUAAUGACUCGUUCGGCGCCUUACG